AAUAUUUGAAAAUGGGGGCAACCCUGAUCCAGCCAUGCCGUGUGUGUGAAGUAGGUCUUCGGAUUGCAAAGCACUUUAAGUUGGGAGGAAUGUCUAUAGGCUAAUCCGCUGAAGUUUUGACGUUACCAACAGAAUAAGUAUCGGCUAACUCUCUGCCAGCAGCCGCGGUAAUACAGAGGGUGCAAGCGUUAAUCGGAAUUACUGGGCGUAAAGCGCGCGUAGGUGGUUCAGUAAGAUGGGUGUGAAAUCCCCGGGCUUAACCUGGGAACUGCUUUCAUAACUGCUGAGCUAGAGUACGGUAGAGGGUAGUGGAAUUUCCUGUGUAGCGGUGAAAUGCGUAGAUAUAGGAAGGAACACCAGUGGCGAAGGCGACUACCUGGACUGAUACUGACACUGAGGUGCGAAAGCGUGGGGAGCAAA
rnacentral:rRNA from 1 species